CCGGUAAACGGCGGCCGUAACUAUAACGGUCCUAAGGUAGCGAAAUUCCUUGUCGGGUAAGUUCCGACCUGCACGAAUGGCGUAAUGAUGGCCAGGCUGUCUCCACCCGAGACUCAGUGAAAUUGAACUCGCUGUGAAGAUGCAGUGUACCCGCGGCAAGACGGAAAGACCCCGUGAACCUUUACUAUAGCUUGACACUGAACAUUGAGCCUUGAUGUGUAGGAUAGGUGGGAGGCUUUGAAGUGUGGACGCCAGUCUGCAUGGAGCCGACCUUGAAAUACCACCCUUUAAUGUUUGAUGUUCUAACGUUGGCCCCUGAUCGGGGUUGCGGACAGUGUCUGGUGGGUAGUUUGACUGGGGCGGUCUCCUCCUAAAGAGUAACGGAGGAGCACGAAGGUUGGCUAAUCCUGGUCGGACAUCAGGAGGUUAGUGCAAUGGCAUAAGCCAGCUUGACUGCGAGCGUGACGGCGCGAGCAGGUGCGAAAGCAGGUCAUAGUGAUCCGGUGGUUCUGAAUGGAAGGGCCAUCGCUCAACGGAUAAAAGGUACUCCGGGGAUAACAGGCUGAUACCGCCCAAGAGUUCAUAUCGACGGCGGUGUUUGGCACCUCGAUGUCGGCUCAUCACAUCCUGGGGCUGAAGUAGGUCCCAAGGGUAUGGCUGUUCGCCAUUUAAAGUGGUACGCGAGCUGGGUUUAGAACGUCGUGAGACAGUUCGGUCCCUAUCUGCCGUGGGCGCUGGAGAACUGAGGGGGGCUGCUCCUAGUACGAGAGGACCGGAGUGGACGCAUCACUGGUGUUCGGGUUGUCAUGCCAAUGGCACUGCCCGGUAGCUAAAUGCGG
rnacentral:rRNA from 1 species